GCGCAUCUGGUGUAGUGGUAUCAUAGUACCCUCCCACAGUAUUGACUGGGGGUUCGAUUCCCCAGAUGCGCA
rnacentral:tRNA from 1 species